rnacentral:rRNA from 1 species
UACGGAGGGGGCUAGCGUUGUUCGGAAUUACUGGGCGUAAAGCGCACGUAGGCGGCUUGGUAAGUUAGAGGUGAAAGCCUGGGGCUCAACCCCAGAAUUGCCUUUAAGACUGCUGGGCUUGAACGUCGGAGAGGUGAGUGGAAUUCCGAGUGUAGAGGUGAAAUUCGUAGAUAUUCGGAAGAACACCAGUGGCGAAGGCGGCUCACUGGACGACUGUUGACGCUGAGGUGCGAAAGCGUGGGGGAGCAAACAGGAU